ACGUAGGGUGCGAGCGUUAAUCAGAAUUACUGGGCGUAAAGCGUACGCAGGCGGCUGGUUAAGACAGAUGUGAAAUCCCCGGGCUUAACCUGGGAACUGCAUUGGUGACUGCCUAGCUAGAGUGUGGCAGAGGGUAGUGGAAUUCCAGGUGUAGCAGUGAAAUGCGUAGAGAUGUGGAGGAACACCGAUGGCGAAGGCAGCCGCCUGGGACAUGACUGACACUCAGGUACGAAAGCGUGGGGAGCAAACAG
rnacentral:rRNA from 1 species